UGGGGAAUCUUGGACAAUGGGGGCAACCCUGAUCCAGCGACGCCGCGUGGGUGGUAAGGCCUUCGGGUUGUAAAGCCCUUUCACCGGGGAAGAUGAUGACAUUACCCGGAGAAGAAGCGCCGGCUAACUCCGUGCCAGCAGCCGCGGUAAUACGGAGGAUGCAAGCGUUAUCCGGAAUUAUUGGGCGUAAAGCGUCCGCAGGUGGCACUUCAAGUCUGCUGUCAAAGACCAGAGCUCAACUCUGGGCAGGCGGUGGAAACUGGGGAGCUAGAGUACGGUAGGGGUAGAGGGAAUUUCCAGUGUAGCGGUGAAAUGCGUAGAGAUUGGAAAGAACACCAGUGGCGAAGGCGCUCUACUGGACCUGUACUGACACUAAGGGACGAAAGCUAGGGGAGCGAAAGGGAUUAGAUACCCCCGUAGUCC
rnacentral:rRNA from 1 species